UACAGAGGAUGCAAGCGUUAUCCGGAAUGAUUGGGCGUAAAGCGUCUGUAGGUGGCUUUUAAGUCCGCCGUCAAAUCCCAGGGCUCAACUCUGGACAGGCGGUGGAAACUACCAAGCUGGAGUACGGUAGGGGCAGAGGGAAUUUCCGGUGGAGCGGUGAAAUGCGUAGAGAUCGGAAAGAACACCAACGGCGAAAGCACUCUGGGACGUGACUGACGCUGAGACGCAAAAGCGUGGGGAGCAAACAGG
rnacentral:rRNA from 1 species